CCUUUUUUUUUUUUUUUUUUGCAAAUCUGAAUCUAUAUUUAUGGGGCUUAGUUUUAUGUUUAUUCCGAUCCCAUUAACGGUUCACCCACCAAUUUAACACUUGAAUUAGGCUGUGGUCCAUAUAUUCUAGUUAAAAGAUUAAUAAUUGGCCCCUAAGAAUGAUUAAUUUGGUAAGUUUGAUCAGGAUAUAUACACAUUAACACCAAAGGGAAUAGAAGAAACCGCAAAGCAGCUAACAGAAUAUAAAUAUGUGUGAACCUUAGAGGUAUCUUUAGAUACAAAAUUAUAGAAAAGGACUGAAUUAACUAUUACUGUAUCAACCGAUACGGUAUGGAUGCAGAUCAAAGGUUCUAUAAAAAUUAAUUUGAAAUAUAAAUAUAGAUAGUUACAAACUUAUUUAGAGGUUGGAACCUCCAGCACAUGGGGCACCAUAAAUCUUGUCUGCCAAAGGCUGGUCGAAAAAUAUCAAAAACACAAAGAACUAGAAUGAACUAAAGACUAAUUAAAAAACGAAAAUGA
rnacentral:misc_RNA from 1 species